UACGUAGGGUGCAAGCGUUAAUCGGAAUUACUGGGCGUAAAGCGUGCGCAGGCGGUUGUGUAAGACAGAUGUGAAAUCCCCGGGCUCAACCUGGGAACUGCAUUUGUGACUGCACAGCUGGAGUGCGGCAGAGGGGGAUGGAAUUCCGCGUGUAGCAGUGAAAUGCGUAGAUAUGCGGAGGAACACCGAUGGCGAAGGCAAUCCCCUGGGCCUGCACUGACGCUCAUGCACGAAAGCGUGGGGAGCGAAACAAGGAU
rnacentral:rRNA from 1 species